AGGUAUCAAUAUAUACAUACCAUUUCAUUGUUUCAAACUUGUUCUUAGCAUUUUGUCUCUUCUUAACGUUUCAGAAUUUUUUUUCAAUACUUGAAUGUGUAGAUAUAUCAGAGUUGAACCUUCCUAGCUCGUGUACGAUUUCGUUUCCUAAUGGCAAAGAUGAUUUGAUGAACUUUGAAGUAUCCAUUAAACCUGAUGAUGGUUACUACCAGUUAAGUUAGAUCCUUUUUUUUCUUCAUAACUCAUGCUCACACUUAAAACGGUUAGAAUAGGAAACUCAUUUGUUUCUUGUCAUGUGAAUUAAUACAGCAAUGGUACAUUUCUUUUCACGUUCCAAGUGUCUUCUGUGUAUCCACACGAAGCUCCAAAAGUUAAAUGCAAAACCAAGGUAUAACUAGGAAUAUGAUCCUCUUUCUUCUGCUUUACUUAUAGCUCCAUCUUUACUUCUUGUUUGUUUGUUUAGGUUUAUCAUCCCAAUAUCGAUUUGGAAGGAAACGUUUGCCUCAACAUCUUACGCGAAGACUGGAAACCUGUUCUUAACAUUAACACUGUUAUCUAUGGACUCUUCCAUCUCUUCACGGUAAAACAAAAACUAGCCUGAUAGAUAGAUACAAGCUUUUAGUGAUUCUCUUAAACUGAGAGUGUUGUGUAAUUCACACAGGAACCCAACUCUGAAGAUCCUUUGAACCAUGACGCAGCACAAGUCUUAAGGGACAACCCAAAGCUCUUUGAGACCAAUGUCAGGAGAGCCAUGACCGGUGGCUAUGUUGGUCAGACCUUUUUCCCUCGCUGUAUCUAACAAAAGCCUGGGUUCGUUCUUCUUCAAGCAACAAGAUAAGAACUGGAACCUCUUUAUCAACCAUUGUAUCUCUUAUUCUCAAAAGAACCUUGUUUGCUUGUUUCUGUAAAAUUACAUUCGAAUGAGUUGUAUAACAUUCUGUUCAGUUUGAUUCGGUCUCAGUUUCAAUGUUUUUAUGCUGUGGUAUUUGAAAGAAUCAAAAAACAUAAGCAAAACUCUCAUAUCAUUUCAACGUCUUUAGAACUGGCCAUUUUCGCGUUCUCUCUAUCUUUCUUGAAAACGAAAUGCAAAGGCGUGUAAGAGAGACAACAGAGGCCAAAGGGGACAGCCAUCAUCGACAAAAGCCCCUUGGAGAGAGCCUCAGCUUCACGCACAGAGGAGCCUUUCAAAGGAUCAAUACCUUUUGAGUCAUACCCAAACAUCUUCUCAGACAAGAUCCCAACCAAAGGUGCAGCGAACGAGGAGAAAGAGCCUUCAAAAGCCCGGUCAAACGCGUAGAUCAUGGUCCGGUGCUUAGGUGGGACGACUUCAGCGAACAUGGGUGCGUUAACAGCUGAACCAUUUUUUUUUGGGAUCUUAAAGUCUUCGAAUCCACAGUCGUUUUUGUUCUAAGUUCGCCUAUGAGUUAGUUUCAGCUGUGAUUUUGAUGUUAAGGUGUUAUGAUGAACUAGAAAAAUCAUAACUUUAUUAGUUUGCUAGUCAAAAUAAUUUUAUAUUUUCAAUACAAUAAUGCUUUAGUCAUCACUUAGAAUCGUUCAUUUUUUUGAUUUGGUCAGAAAGAAGCAAUGAUUGGGUUGUUUAAAGUAAAGGAGAAGCAAAGAGAACAAGCUCAAAACGCUAGCAGAGGUGGAGGAGGAGCUUCUGUCAAGAAGCAAUCUGCUGGUGAACUUCGUCUUCACAAAGGUCUCUCUCUAUAUAUUCCUUUGAUUGUUUUAGCAUUUUGUCUCUUCUUCAAGUUUCAAUUUUUGCAAUCUUUGAAUGUGUGCAGAUAUAUCAGAGUUGAAUCUUCCUAGCUCUUGUACGAUUACGUUUCCUAAUGGCAAAGAUGAUUUGAUGAACUUUGAAGUCUCCAUUAAACCUGAUGAUGGUUACUACC
rnacentral:lncRNA from 1 species